UUCUCACUACUGCACUUGACUAGUCUUU
rnacentral:piRNA from 5 species